UACGGAAGGGACUAGCGUUGUUCGGAAUUACUGGGCGUAAAGCGCACGUAGGCGGAUUUGUAAGUCAGGGGUGAAAUCCCGGGGCUCAACCUCGGAACUGCCUUUGAUACUGCAAAUCUCGAGUCCGGAAGAGGUGAGUGGAAUUCCUAGUGUAGAGGUGAAAUUCGUAGAUAUUAGGAAGAACACCAGUGGCGAAGGCGGCUCACUGGUCCGGUACUGACGCUGAGGUGCGAAAAGCGUGGGGAGCAAACAGG
rnacentral:rRNA from 1 species